AUUGAACGCUGGCGGCAUGCCUUACACAUGCAAGUCGAACGGCAGCACGGGAGCAAUCCUGGUGGCGAGUGGCGAACGGGUGAGUAAUAUAUCGGAACGUGCCCAGUCGUGGGGAUAACGUAGCGAAAGCUACGCUAAUACCGCAUACGAUCUACGGAUGAAAGCGGGGGGAUCGCAAGACCUCGCGCGAUUGGAGCGGCCGAUAUCAGAUUAGGUAGUUGGUGAGGUAAAGGCUCACUAAGCCGACGAUCUGUAGCUGGUCUGAGAGGACGACCAGCCACACUGGGACUGAGACACGGCCCAGACUCCUACGGGAGGCAGCAGUGGGGAAUUUUGGACAAUGGGCGCAAGCCUGAUCCAGCAAUGCCGCGUGCAGGAUGAAGGCC
rnacentral:rRNA from 1 species